rnacentral:rRNA from 1 species
GACGAACGCUGGCGGCGUGCUUAACACAUGCAAGUCGAACGGAAAGGCCCUGCUUUUGUGGGGUGCUCGAGUGGCGAACGGGUGAGUAACACGUGAGUAACCUGCCCUUGACUUUGGGAUAACUCCAGGAAACUGGGGCUAAUACCGGAUUUGAGCUCCUGCUGCAUGUUGGGGGUCGGAAAGUUUCGGCGGUUGGGGAUGGACUCGCGGCGUAUCAGCUUGUUGGUGGGGGUAUGGCUUUCCAAGGCUGUGACGGGUAGCCGGCCUGAGAGGGUGACCGGCCGCACUGGGAGGGAGACGGGCCCCAGUGGCCUACGGGAGGGACCAGUAGGCAACCGGCGGCAAGAGGCGGGAAUCUUACGGAAUGGGGCGGAGGCUGAGAGAAAGACCCCCGGGUCGGGAAGACCGGCUUUGGGGUAAGAACCGGUUUCGCCGUAAACGAAGCGAGUAUGACGGUAAUUAGUGAAAAAGCCACGGCUAACUACGUG